rnacentral:lncRNA from 1 species
GAAUUGCAAGCAACACAUUCCCGUCCCACCUUCUGCGAGCACAGAGAGAGUGGGAGAGCAGGCCUCCGAAAUCACCGACCGCAGAGAUACACUUGCACGGGUGUGCGGGCGAUCAGAUUUUUGGGGAGCGUCUUCGCGACUGCUCGCGUGAUCUGCUUCGUCUUCUUCCCGGCGACCGUUCGAGGGACUGCACUGCGUACACCUUCCUGCAUCGACUUCGUACGGCUACAUCGAACAAACACACGAGAUGACUCGUGUGAAUGGAGCCACUGAUGCCUUGAGCAUCGGUCCCUCCGUUGGGUACACUCUAUUCUUCGUAUUCGUGCAUGUUUUAUUGCUAUUUACUGCUUAUGCGAGUAGUUAUACACACAUGCACAUACAUGUCAUCACAUAUAUCGCACUGUUUUUCUGGAUUAAAUUAAAACUAAAAAUGCCUAACUUUCUAACAAUCCAAAAAUCUGAUAUUAGGCAUUUUUCUGUUAGUGGUUUUGCUGCUGCGUUAAAACCAAGUGAACCUUUUGAUGGGACAUUUUACAAGAGAUGGCGUAGUAAGAUGAUACUGUGGUUGACCGCAAUGAACUGCUAUCACGCCGCACAGGGGAAACCCGAACAGUUCACUCCUGAAGAGGAGAGAAUGUUCGACGUUGCCGAUAACCUGUUUCGAGGCGCCGUGAUUGGCGCUCUUGCCAACAAGUAUGUUGAUUCUUAUCUAACGUGCACAUCUGCAAAAGAGUUAUGGGAUGCAUUAGAUGAGAAGUUUGGUGUUUCUGAUGCUGGUAGCGAGAUGUACAUCAUGGAGCAGCUGUUUGACUAUAAGAUGGUGGAAAACCGUCCUGUAGUUGAACAGGCUCAUGAAAUACAGGCACUGGCUAAAGAACUCGAACAAUUCCCAUGUGUCUUACCUGACAAGUUCGUGGCCGGCGGUAUUAUCGCUAAACUGCCACCUUCUUGGACGGAUUUUGCUACCACUCUAAAACAUAAGAGACAAGAGUUUAGCGUGGCUGAGCUUAUUGGUUCUCUUGAUGUUGAGGAGAGGGCGAGAGCAAAAGACACUCGUGGAAAAGGAGUUGAGACUUCUAGUGCCAAUAUGGUACAAAAGAAGAACUCCAAUGCAUCACAUAAUAAUAAAAAGAAAAACAAGCAACAGAAUGCCACGAAGCCCAAGCAGGCAGCCUCGUUCAAAAAGAAGAACAAAGGAGCUGGUUGCUUUGUUUGCGGAAGUACUGAUCAUUGGGCAAGCGCUUGUCCAGACCGCAAAUUUAAGCAAGAGAAAAAACCAGCUCAAGAGAAGAAAACAGUAAACAUGGUUGUUAGCGAGACUGCAGAAGGAACAUCGGGGUAUGGUAAUCUUUUACCUACUGUUCUUUCAGUGUGUCAAUCCCCUGAGUGGUGGGCUGAUACCGGUGCUAAUAUUCAUGUGUGUGCUGAUAUUUCUUUAUUUUCUUCUUAUCAGUGCAAAGGGACUGGAGCCUUGCUGAUGGGGAACGGAUCACAUGCGCGUGUUCUUGGUGUUGGUACAGUCAUUCUGAAGUUUACUUCGGGAAAGACGGUGCUAUUGAAGAACGUGCAGCAUGUCCCCUCCAUCAAAAAGAAUCUAGUUAGUGGCUCUCAAUUGUGCCGAGAUGGCUACAAAAUUGUCUUUGAGUCUAAUAAACGUAUACUGUCUAAGUAUGGAACGUUUGUUGGAAAAGGCUAUGACAGCGGAGGCUUGUUCCGCUUAUCUUUGCAUGAUGCGUGUAAUAAGUCUGUGAACAAUGUUGUUUCGAAUGAGUCGUAUAUUUGGCAUUCACGACUUUGUCAUAUCAAUUUUGGUUGUGUCUCGCGGUUAGCAGAUUUAAAUUUAAUCCCGAAAUUUGAUUUAGUCAAAGGUUCUAAGUGCCAGGUGUGCGUGCAAUCUAAGCAACCUCGCAAGCCUCACAAGGCUGCGGAGGCGAGGAAUUUGGCACCACUGGACUUAAUACAUUCCGAUUUAUGUGAGAUGAACGGAAUAUUGACUAAAGGAGGCAAGCAAUAUUUUAUUACUUUUAUCGAUGACUCUACUAGAUUUUGUUAUGUGUAUCUCUUAAAAUCAAAAGAUGAAGCUUUGCAUUAUUUUAAGACCUACAAAGCUGAAGUUGAAAAUCAACUCGAGAGGAAAAUUAAACGGUUAAGGUCUGAUCGUGGUGGAGAAUAUUUUUCGGGUGAUUUUUCUGAUUUCUGUGUGGAACAUGGUAUUAUUCAUGAGAGGACACCGCCAUACUCACCACAAUCCAAUGGGGUUGCUGAAAGAAAGAACCGUACUCUAACUGAUUUGGUUAACGCCAUGUUAGAGACUUCAGGGCUAUCUAAGGAAUGGUGGGGUGAGGCGAUCUUGACGGCGUGUCAUGUCCUGAAUAAAGUUCCCACAAAGAACAAAGAAAUCACACCAUUCGAGGAAUGGGAAAAGAAGAAAUUAAAUAUCUCCUAUUUGCGCACCUGGGGUUGUUUGGCUAAAGUGAAUGUGCCAAUUAACAAGAAGCGCAAAUUAGGACCGAAAACUGUUGAUUGUGUUUUCCUUGGGUAUGCUUUCCACAGCAUUGGAUAUAGGUUUUUAAUUAUAAACUCUGGAGUACCGGACAUGUUGGUUGGUACAAUUAUGGAGUCCGGAGAUGCUACGUUUUUUGAGGACGAAUUUCCCAUGAAAGCUACACAUGAUAUGUCUAAUGAUGAACCAACGAUACCCCAUGAGCAUUUUAUUCCGGUAGAACACACUGAGGAAUCCCAUAUACAUAAUCAUGUGGAAAAUGACAAUGUAUCAACUCGAAAGAGUAAGAGACCAAGGAUUGCAAAGUCCUUUGGUGAUGAUUACAUUGUAUAUCUUGUGGAUGACACACCAAGUACCAUUGAAGAGGCAUAUUCCUCUCCUGAUGCUGACUUUUGGAAGGAAGCAAUAAGGAGUGAGAUGGAUUCUAUUAUGUCUAAUGCAACUUGGGAGGUAGUUGAGCGUCCAUAUGGGUGUAAGCCCAUUGGAAGUAAAUGGGUGUUCAAGAAAAAACUUAGGCCUGAUGGUACUAUUGAAAGGUACAAGGCGAGGCUUGUAAUUAAAGGCUAUUCACAGAAGGAAGGUGAGGAUUUCUUUGAUACUUAUUCACCUGUGGCUCGAUUGACCACAAUUCGUGUGCUACUUUCUUUGGCUGCCUCUCAUGGUCUACUCGUCCAUCAAAUGGAUGUUAAGACAGCAUUCCUAAAUGGAGAGCUAGAUGAGGAAAUUUACAUGGAGCAGCCAGCUGGGUUUGUAGCAAACGGUCAAGAAGGCAUGGUGUGUAAAUUAUUGAAAUCUUUAUAUGGCCUAAAACAAGCACCUAAGCAAUGGCAUGAAAAGUUCGAUAGAACUUUGACAUCUGCCGGUUUUGUUGUGAACGAAGCAGACAAGUGUGUAUACUAUCGGUAUGGUGGGGGCGAGGGAGUAAUUUUAUGCCUAUAUGUUGAUGACAUUCUAAUCUUGGGGACGAGUCUUGAUGUGAUUAAAGAGACAAAAGACUUUCUAUCUAAUAAUUUUGAAAUGAAAGAUUUGGGAGAAGCUGAUGUUAUUCUUAACAUUAAGCUACUGAGAGAAGGCAUUGGUGGGAUCACACUUGUGCAAUCCCAUUAUGUGGAAAAGGUUUUGAGUCGCUUUGGUUUUAGCGAAUGUGAACCUGCUCCAACGCCUUAUGAUCCUAGUAAGCUAUUAAAGAAAAAUCGAAGGAUAGCUAGGGAUCAAUUGAGAUAUUCCCAAAUAAUUGGUUCACUCAUGUACUUAGCUAGCGCUACGAGACCUGACAUCUCAUUUGCUGUGAGCAAACUUAGUCGAUUUGUUUCAAAUCCGGGAGAUGAUCACUGGCGUGCUCUUGAGAGAGUUUUGCGCUAUCUAAAGGGUACUAUGAGUUUAGGCAUCCAUUAUACCGGGUACCCAACAGUACUGGAGGGUUAUUGUGAUGCAAACUGGAUAUCUGAUGCUGAUGAGAUAUAUGCCACAAGUGGAUAUGUGUUUUCACUUAGAGGUGGUGCUGUUUCAUGGAAGUCUUGCAAGCAGACCAUCUUAACGAGGUCGACUAUGGAAGCAGAACUCACAGCAUUAGAUACCGCUUCAGUUGAGGCUGAGUGGCUUCGUGAACUCCUUAUGGAUUUACCGGUGGUUGAAAAACCUGUGCCGGCUAUUUCCAUGAACUGUGAUAAUCAGACUGUGAUAAUUAAGAUAAACAGUUCUAAGGAUAAUAUGAAGUCGACAAGGCACAUAAAGAGGCGUUUGAAAUCUGUCAGGAAAUUGAGAAACUCCGGAGUAAUAGCGUUGGAUUAUGUCCAUACGUCUAAAAAUCUGGCAGAUCAAUUUACUAAGGGGCUAUCACGUAGUGUGAUAGAUAGUGCAUCAAGUGAGAUGGGCAUGAGACCCACCUAAAGUUUAUCAUAGUGGUAACCUGUUCUAUGUGAUCGGAGAUCCCGUGAAUUAGAAUGGUGAAACAAGCUAGUGGUAGACUGAGAGGAAAGACCCUUAAUAAGGCUCAUUUCAGAUGCAUAUCUUUCCUUACUGUAAGGUAGGUUGGUGUUUACACCUUAAUAUGUUCCAAGUGGCUUUGUGAAGCAAAGAUGUUGUCCUACAGAACAUCUUUAGAGGAACAUACCUAUAUGGGUUAACUGCUAGUCACAGUUUAUGAGAUCUGGGUGGUUUCUAGAUACCCAUGAAAGGCUAUGGAGUUUGACUUAUAUGCUCCAACCAGAGGGAAUGCGUUCAGCAAUCUAGUACUGGUAAAGAGUUUAGAUGAAACUCAUUCCACGCAAAACUGCCAAUUCAAGGCCUAGUCCAUUGUGCAGUUGUGGUCAAGUGUAGUCUAAGUUCUAGGUGGAUGUUCAACUUAACAGUCUCCAUCGAAACACCAGUAUAUCAAACGUUUGAGGUGAUGAGAGCUUUUUAGUGUGACUUAGCAUUUGGUGGGGAUUGUUGGAUUAAUGUGGGCUUGGCCCAAAUUAAUAUUCAAUAAUAGUCAAUGCUAAUGGCCCACUUUAAUGCUAUGGUGUACUAAUUAUUUAGUACCAUAUUGGAAGUUCAAAAGACAAAUCAAUCAACUUAAAUAGGUGGACUAUUGGUGCAUCUAUUGAGAAGUUGAGAAAAGGAUGAAGGACUGCCACACGCGCGCGCGCGCGCCGCCGCCGCCGCCGCCGGCCGGGCCGGGCCGUGGCUCGUGGCUCGUGGCUCGUGGUAGAUCGGACCUUGGUCCGAAUAUUCCUUUCAAACGGUUGCGCAUUUUGCCUGGAGCGAUGACCGUCAUAAUAACCGUCCGUUUCACGUCAUUAUGGCUAGUAACGGACGUCAUAAUAACCGUCCGUUUCACGUUAUUAUGGCUAGUAACGGACGUCGUUAUGGCUAGUAACGGACGUCAUUAUGGCUAGUAACGGACGUCAUUACUGUCGUCAGUUUCCAGUUCUAAUGCGCGACCGUUUCUGUCCGUUGGUCUUCUCCCUCCUUCUGACCGCCUAUAAGAAUGGAGAGGGAGGGCUCUUCCAGGCACGCGAAUUGCCUCACGCGAAUUGCAAGCAACACAUUCCCGUCCCACCUUCUGCGAGCACAGAGAGAGUGGGAGAGCAGGCCUCCGAAAUCACCGACCGCAGAGAUACACUUGCACGGGUGUGCGGGCGAUCAGAUUUUUGGGGAGCGUCUUCGCGACUGCUCGCGUGAUCUGCUUCGUCUUCUUCCCGGCGACCGUUCGAGGGACUGCACUGCGUACACCUUCCUGCAUCGAC